rnacentral:rRNA from 1 species
UACGUAGGUGGCAAGCGUUGUCCGAAAUUAUUGGGCGUAAAGCGCGCGCAGGCGGUCCCUUAAGUCUGAUGUGAAAGCCCACGGCUCAACCGUGGAGGGUCAUUGGAAACUGGGGGACUUGAGUGCAGAAGAGGAAAGUGGAAUUCCAUGUGUAGCGGUGAAAUGCGUAGAGAUGUGGAGGAACACCAGUGGCGAAGGCGACUUUCUGGUCUGUAACUGACGCUGAGGCGCGAAAGCGUGGGGAGCAAACAGG